rnacentral:sRNA from 1 species
UAGCUACAGAUUCAGGUUUUUUGUAUUGA